rnacentral:rRNA from 1 species
CCUACGGGUGGCAGCAGUGAGGAAUAUUGGUCAAUGGGCGAAAGCCUGAACCAGCCACGCCGCGUGAAGGAUGAAGGAUCUCUGGUUUGUAAACUCUUUUUAUAUGGGAAUAAAGUGAGGAACGUGUUCCUUAUUGUAUGUCCCACAUGAAUAAGCAUAGGCUAACUACGCGCAAGCAGCAGGGGUAAUACGGAGGUGCCGAGCUUGAUCCGGAUUUAUUGGGUUUAAGGGGUGCGUAGGUGGGUAAUUAGGUCAGCGGUGAAAGUUUGUGGCUCAACCAUAAAAUUGCCGUUGAUACUGGUUGGCUUGAGUAUAUGUGAGGUAGGCGGAAUGCGUGGUGUAGCGGUGAAAUGCAUAGAUAUCACGCAGAACUCCGAUUGCGAAGGCAGCUUACGAAACCAUGACUGACGCUGAUGCACGAAAGCGUGGGGAUCAAACAGGAUUAGAUACCCGAGUAGUC